rnacentral:rRNA from 1 species
GACGAACGCUGGCGGCGUGCUUAACACAUGCAAGUCGAACGAGAAGAGAUGAGAAGCUUGCUUCUUAUCAAUUCGAGUGGCAAACGGGUGAGUAACGCGUAAGCAACCUGCCCUUCAGAUGGGGACAACAGCUGGAAACGGCUGCUAAUACCGAAUGUUGUAUCUCCUCCGCAUGGAAGAGAUAUUAAAGAUGGCCUCUACUUGUAAGCUAUCGCUUUGCGAUGGGUCUGCGUCUGAUUAGCUAGUUGGUGGGCAACGGCCUACCAAGGCGACGAUCAGUAGCCGGUCUGAGAGGAUGAACGGCCACAUUGGAACUGAGACACGGUCCAGACUCCUACGGGAGCAGCAGUGGGAAUCUUCCGCAAUGGCGAAAGCCUGACGGAGCAACGCCGCGUGAGUGAAGAAGGUCUUCGGAUCGUAAAGCUCUGUUGUCGGGGACGAAUGUUGAGGCCUAGAACAUAGG